UACGUAGGGUGCGAGCGUUAAUCGGAAUUACUGGGCGUAAAGCGUGCGCAGGCGGCUUUGCAAGACAGAUGUGAAAUCCCCGGGCUCAAACUGGGAACUGCAUUUGUGACUGCAAGGCUAGAGUACGGCAGAGGGGGAUGGAAUUCCGCGUGUAGCAGUGAAAUGCGUAGAUAUGCGGAGGAACACCGAUGGCGAAGGCAAUCCCCUGGACCUGUACUGACGCUCAUGCACGAAAGCGUGGGGAGCAAACAGG
rnacentral:rRNA from 1 species